AACAGAUGAUUUUGAAUAAUUUGAUGCAUGUAACACUAACAUUCAAAUGUUUGGAGUCUAUGUGACAACGAAUCCAACAAAAAAAAAAUUCAGCACGUCUGUAUUUUAACAUUGAUCAUAAUCAGAAAUGUUUCUUGAGCAGUAAAUCAUCAUAUUAGAAUGAUUUCUGAAGCUGUGACACUGAAGACUGGAGGAAUGAUGCUGAAAAUUCAGCUUUGAUCAAAGGAAUAAAUGACAUUUUAACAUAAUAUUCAAAUAGAAAAGAGUUGUUUUGAAUUGUAAUAGUCACAGUGUUACUAUUUUACUGUAAUUUGAUUCAAUAAAUGGAGCCGUGGUGAGCAUAAGAGAUUUUUUUAUAAUGGCAUAAAAUAUCUUACAGACCCCAAACUCUUGAAUGGUUGUGUAAAUUACAAUUAUGAUGUUCCUCCCAGUUAAAUUUUAUUAAAAUGUAUUAAAUGUUACUCUGGCAUAUGCAGUCCAUUCUAUAGAGACUGUGUCUGUUCCCCAAAAACAGACAAAAAUAAUAUGUUUAUUAAGGGAUCUAGAAAAAUUAUUUCAGUUUAAAGCUACUAGAUUAAAAAUAGUACUCAAUGUACUCCAUUGAUGAAAUAGUAAAAAGUGCACAUUGCCUGAAAUGAUAUGAACAGCAGCUAUGCUAAUCUUUCUCCCUUUGCCUUCCUGUUUCUGCAAAUGUCCAUCCCAGGGUUAUUAGAAACUGCACAGCACAGGACUUGCAGGACUUGUGAGGACUUCAGAUGAUACCAGUACUCAAAAGACCUAAGAUGAUGGCAACUAUAGAUGGACAUACAAACUACCGCCACUGCAAAAAAGAUUCUAAUUUGAAAGAAGUUUAUAAUGCAUGUUCGCUACUCCCAAUUCAGAAGACUGAAUCAGCCUGUGUAUCUGAAUGUUUCUCAUACUCACUCCUCUCUGCCGCGUCUGAAUUUGGGAUUUUCCUUAGCUGUCAGUUAUAAACGUCAAAAUUAAAAGAAAUAAACAUUUGAAAUAUAUCAGUCUGUGUGUAAUGAAUAAAUAUAAUAUACAAGUUUCACUUUUUGAAUGGAAUUAGUGAAAUAAAUCAACUUUUUGAUGAUAUUCUAAUUAUAUGACCAGCACCUGUAUAUCAUUGCUCUUUUGUUGAUUUUGAUUGCUUCCAUUGUCCUCAUUUGUAAGUUGCUUUGGAUAAAAGUGUCUGCUAAAUGUAAAUGUAAUGUUAAUGUGUGUUUAACUAUAUUUAUAAAUAUUUAUCUGUAUUUUUUAUUUUGUAAUAAUGUAAAUGUAUUUGUUUUAUAUCUAUA
rnacentral:lncRNA from 1 species